GGCCCCGUAGCUCAGCGGCAGAGCAGUGGACUUUUAAUCCAUGGGUCCUGGGUUCGAAUCCCAGCGGGGUCACCA
rnacentral:tRNA from 1 species